CACUCUCCGCGUUCACUGUCUGCCUUAAUGUUGCUUGCGCCAUAAGGCACGCGGUGAAUGCCAAGAGAUGGG